AACCUCCGCAAUGUGAGAAAUCGCGACGGGGGGAUCCCAAGUGCCAUUCUUAACGGGAUGGCUUUUCAUUAGUGUAAAGAGCUUUUGGAAUAAGGGCUGGGCAAGACCGGUGCCAGCCGCCGCGGUAACACCGGCAGCUCUAGUGGUAGCAGUUUUUAUUGGGCCUAAAGCGUCCGUAGCCGGUUUAAUAAGUCUCUGGUGAAAUCCUGUAGCUUAACUGUGGGAAUUGCUGGAGAUACUAUUAGACUUGAGACCGGGAGAGGUUGGAGGUACUCCCAGGGUAGAGGUGAAAUUCUGUAAUCCUGGGAGGACCGCCUGUUGCGAAGGCGUCUAACUGGAACGGUUCUGACGGUGAGGGACGAAAGUUAGGGGCGCGAACCGGAUUAGAUACCCGGGUAGUCCUAACUGUAAACGAUGCGGACUUGGUGUUGGGGCGGCUUUGAGCUGCUCCAGUGCCGAAGGGAAGCUGUUAAGUCCGCCGCCUGGGAAGUACGGUCGCAAGACUGAAACUUAAAGGAAGU
rnacentral:rRNA from 1 species